AUCUAAGUACCCCGAGGAAAAGAAAUCAACCGAGAUUCCCCCAGUAGCGGCGAGCGAACGGGGAGGAGCCCAGAGCCUGAAUCAGCAUGUGUGUUAGUGGAAGCGUCUGGAAAGGCGCGCGAUACAGGGUGACAGCCCCGUACACAAAAGCGCAUGUGUUGUGAGCUCGAUGAGUAGGGCGGGACACGUGGUAUCCUGUCUGAAUAUGGGGGGACCAUCCUCCAAGGCUAAAUACUCCUGACUGACCGAUAGUGAACCAGUACCGUGAGGGAAAGGCGAAAAGAACCCCGGCGAGGGGAGUGAAAAAGAACCUGAAACCGUGUACGUACAAGCAGUGGGAGCACCCUUUGGGGUGUGACUGCGUACCUUUUGUAUAAUGGGUCAGCGACUUAUAUUCUGUAGCAAGGUUAACCGAAUAGGGGAGCCGGAGGGAAACCGAGUCUUAAUUGGGCGUUAAGUUGCAGGGUAUAGACCCGAAACC
rnacentral:rRNA from 1 species